UGCCCAGCAACUCCUAUCCCUACCUCCUCGUGGUACUGGCCGGGGUACGAGUCGCAUGGGAACUUUGGUCGUAUGCUGACAUGGAAAGG
rnacentral:ribozyme from 1 species